rnacentral:rRNA from 1 species
UACGGAGGGUGCAAGCGUUGUUCGGAAUCACUGGGCGUAAAGGGCGUGUAGGCGGUCCGCUAAGUCUGAUGUGAAAGCCCGGGGCUCACCCCCCGGAAGGGCAUUGGAAACUGGCGGACUCGAGUCCCGGAGAGGGAAGGUGGAAUUCCUGGUGUAGCGGUGAAAUGCGUAGAUAUCAGGAGGAAUACCGGUGGCGAAGGCGGCAUCCUGGACCAACACUGACGCUGAGUGAGCGAAAGCCAGGGGGAGCAAAACGGGG